ACUCCUACGGGAGGCAGCAGUAGGGAAUCUUCCACAAUGGGCGCAAGCCUGAUGGAGCAACACCGCGUGAGUGAAGAAGGGUUUCGGCUCGUAAAGCUCUGUUGUUAAAGAAGAACACGUAUGAGAGUAACUGUUCAUACGUUGACGGUAUUUAACCUAGAAAGUCACGGCUAACUACGUGCCAGCAGCCGCGGUAAUACGUAGGUGGCAAGCGUUAUCCGGAUUUAUUGGGCGUAAAGAGAGUGCAGGCGGUUUUCUAAGUCUGAUGUGAAAGCCUUCGGCUUAACCGGAGAAGUGCAUCGGAAACUGGAUAACUUGAGUGCAGAAGAGGGUAGUGGAACUCCAUGUGUAGCGGUGGAAUGCGUAGAUAUAUGGAAGAACACCAGUGGCGAAGGCGGCUACCUGGUCUGCAACUGACGCUGAGACUCGAAAGCAUGGGUAGCGAACAGGAUUAGAUACCCUGGUAGGCUAGCG
rnacentral:rRNA from 1 species